CCCUUAGAUGUUCUGGGCAGCACGCGCGCUACAAUGGUCUUCGCAAACGGAUGCAUUCUCGAAGGAGAAUGCCAAUCUUGGAAUCUAUGCCUUGGUCGGGACAGUUGCUUGCAAUUUUUCGACUCGAACCAGGAAUUCCUUGUAAUCGUGAUUCAUCACAUCACGAUGAAUACGUCCCUGCCCUUUGUACACACCGCCCGUCGCUCCUACCGAUCGAAGAGUUAGGUGAAUUGUUUUGAUCGAUAAGAUUUGACUAUGGUCAACUCUCGUUGUGAAAUUCUGUGAAUCUGACCGUCUAGAGGAAGUAAAAGUCGUAACA
rnacentral:rRNA from 1 species